GACGAACGCUGGCGGCGUGCUUAACACAUGCAAGUCGAACGCUGAAGCUUGGUGCUUGCACUGGGUGGAUGAGUGGCGAACGGGUGAGUAAUACGUGAGUAACCUGCCCUUGACUCUGGGAUAAGCCUGGGAAACUGGGUCUAAUACUGGAUAUGACAUGCCACUGCAUGGUGGUGUGUGGAAAGGGUUUUACUGGUUUUGGAUGGGCUCACGGCCUAUCAGCUUGUUGGUGGGGUAAUGGCCUACCAAGGCGACGACGGGUAGCCGGCCUGAGAGGGUGACCUGCCACACUGGGACUGAGACACGGCCCAGACUCCUACGGGAGGCAGCAGUGGGGAAUAUUGCACAAUGGGCGGAAGCCUGAUGCAGCGACGCCGCGUGAGGGAUGACGGCCUUCGGGUUGUAAACCUCUUUCAGCACGGAAGAAGCGAGAGUGACGGUACGUGCAGAAGAAGCGCCGGCUAACUACGUG
rnacentral:rRNA from 1 species